rnacentral:rRNA from 1 species
GAUGAACGCUGGCGGCGUGCCUAAUACAUGCAAGUCGAGCGAACAGACGAGGAGCUUGCUCCUCUGACGUUAGCGGCGGACGGGUGAGUAACACGUGGAUAACCUACCUAUAAGACUGGGAUAACUUCGGGAAACCGGAGCUAAUACCGGAUAAUAUAUUGAACCGCAUGGUUCAAUAGUGAAUGACGGUUUUGCUGUCACUUAUAGAUGGAUCCGCGCCGCAUUAGCUAGUUGGUAAGGUAACGGCUUACCAAGGCAACGAUGCGUAGCCGACCUGAGAGGGUGAUCGGCCACACUGGAACUGAGACACGGUCCAGACUCCUACGGGAGGCAGCAGUAGGGAAUCUUCCGCAAUGGGCGAAAGCCUGACGGAGCAACGCCGCGUGAGUGAUGAAGGUCUUCGGAUCGUAAAGCUCUGUUAUUAGGGAAGAACAGAUGUGUAAGUAACUAUGCACGUCUUGACGGUACCUAAUCAGAAAGCCACGGCUAACUACGUG